CUUCACUUCCUCUCAGUAGAAGUCAUGGACUGGUUUACAGGAGAGAGAGUCAUCGGCAAACAACAGCCAGGUCUGACAGUGGCAGUGAGUUUGCUGCUUGUCUUUUUGAUCGUACUCCUGGCAGCUGUAGUCUACACUCCUCCAGGUGUGAGGUGCUGCAGGAGAAGAAACAUGGCUGAAGAGCACCUCUCACUCACUGACAGUAGAGUCUCAUGACAGUCUCCACUCUUCAGCGUGUUUAUGAUGGACCUUUGUCACCAGCUCUCUCUUUUCCAUCUAAACUUGGUUAUCUGGCUUCAGUACACGGAUAAAAUGUGCACUCUGCAAAUGGAAAUAAUGGACUGCAGUCAACAGUGGACACAGUGGAAUCACCAUGGUGCUGUGUGGUGUUUCAUAAUUGCGUAUCACUGAAGGACACUUAGAAAAUAAUCAUACGGAGACAUUCUGAUUAACUCACAGGACUGUGGGUCACUAAAAAAUCUCAAAGCUUUUGUUGUCAAAGCUAAGUGUAAGCAGAAUUUUCUGUAUUUAUUUUCAUAAAAAUGGAUAAAUCUUAUGGAUAUGAGUGUCCCAGUUUAUAGUUUACUAUACUGUAUUAAAUUAGGAUGCUAAUUGUUGAAUCUAGCCUAAAUCAUCUAUAGUCCUGGUGGAGUAUUUUUAUUUAUGUAACCCAUAAAUGUAAUUUCAGGAUGUCCUGCCCUCCCAAACCUCUCUUGCCUGAACCUGUGGCAAAUGUAGUUCCUCUAGUGACCAGCAGAGGGGGUUAGAGACCUUCAUUAUUACCUUAGCCUACAGAAAAUAUGAUGAUGCAUUUGAACUCUU